rnacentral:rRNA from 1 species
AUUGAACGCUGGCGGCAGGCUUAACACAUGCAAGUCGAGCGGGGUGAUGGUGCUUGCACUAUCACUUAGCGGCGGACGGGUGAGUAAUGCUUAGAAAUCUGCCUAUUAGUGGGGGACAACAUCUCGAAAGGGAUGCUAAUACCGCAUACGUCCUACGGGAGAAAGCAGGGGAUCACUUGUGACCUUGCGCUAAUAGAUGAGACUAAGUCGGAUUAGCUAGUUGGUGGGGUAAAGGCCUACCAAGGCGACGAUCUGUAGCGGGUCUGAGAGGAUGAUCCGCCACACUGGGACUGAGACACGGCCCAGACUCCUACGGGAGGCAGCAGUGGGGAAUAUUGGACAAUGGGGGGAACCCUGAUCCAGCCAUGCCGCGUGUGUGAAGAAGGCCUUAUGGUUGUAAAGCACUUUAAGCGAGGAGGAGGCUCUUUUGGUUAAUACCCAAGAUGAGUGGACGUUACUCGCAGAAUAAGCACCGGCUAACUCUGUGCCAGCCGCCGCGGUAA